GUCCCUGUGGCGCAAUGGAUAGCGCGUUGGACUUCUAAUGCAAAGGGUUCGAAUUCCACCUGGGAAG